AACGUAGGAGACAAACGUUAUCCGGAGUUACUGGGCGUAAAGGGCGUGUAGGUGGUUUCGUAAGUCUGGCGUGAAAUUUUUCGGCUUAACCGGGAAAGGUCGUCGGAUACUGCAGAACUCGAGGACGGUAGAGGCGUGUGGAAUUCCGGGUGUAGUGGUGAAAUGCGUAGAGAUCCGGAGGAACACCAGUGGCGAAGGCGACACGCUGGGCCGUACCUGACACUGAUGCGCGACAGCAUGGGGAGCAAACAGG
rnacentral:rRNA from 1 species